rnacentral:rRNA from 1 species
GCUUAGCCCUAAACUAAAAUAAUUUCACAACAAAAUUAUUUGCCAGAGAACUACUAGCUACAGCUUAAAACUCAAAGGACUUGGCGGUACUUUAUAUCCAUCUAGAGGAGCCUGUUCUAUAAUCGAUAAACCCCGCUUUACCUCACCAUCCCUUGCUAAUUCAGUCUAUAUACCGCCAUCUUCAGCAAACCCUUAAAAGGAACAAAAGUAAGCAAGAGAACAAUCAUAAAAACGUUAGGUCAAGGUGUAGCCAAUGAGAUGGGAAGCAAUGGGCUACAUUUUCUAUAUAAGAACAUUACGAUAUCCUUUUUGAAACUAAAGGACAAAGGAGGAUUUAGUAGUAAAUUAAGAAUAGAGAGCUUA